UACGUAGGGGGCGAGCGUUGUCCGGAUUCAUUGGGCGUAAAGAGCUCGUAGGCGGUUUGGUAAGUCGGGUGUGAAAACCCCAGGCUCAACCUGGGGACGCCACCUGAUACUGCUAUGACUUGAGUCUGGUAGGGGACCACGGAAUUCCUGGUGUAGCGGUGAAAUGCGCAGAUAUCAGGAGGAACACCGGUGGCGAAGGCGGCUACCUGGAUUGACACUGACACUGAGGCGCGAGAGCGUGGGGAGCAAACAGG
rnacentral:rRNA from 1 species